CACUACGGCCAUGCCACCCUGAACAAGCACGAUCUCAUCUGAUAUUGGAAGCUAAGCAGGGUUGGGCCUGGUUAGUACUUGAUAGGAGACCACCUAGGAAGACUAGGUACUGUAGGAG
rnacentral:rRNA from 1 species